rnacentral:rRNA from 1 species
CCCUUAGAUGUCCUGGGCCGCACGCGCGUUACACUGAUGCAUUCAACGAGCUUAUAACCUUGGCCGAGAGGCCUGGGCAAUAUUGUUAACGUGCAUCGUGAUAGGGAUAGAUUAUUGAAAUUAUUAAUCUUGAACGAGGAAUUCCUAGUAAACGCAGAUCAUCAAUCUGCAUUGAUUACGUCCCUGCCCUUUGUACACACCGCCCGUCGCACCUACCGAUUGGAUGGUCCGGUGAAGCCUCGGGAUUGUGGUUCUUGCCGCUUUAUUGUGGCGUGACCGCGAGAACUUGUCUAAACCUUAUCAUCUAGAGGAAGGUGAAGUCGUAACA